rnacentral:lncRNA from 1 species
CACUGAGAUUAAUUUCAAUAUUGUUACUCGUAAUAGGAUAUCACUAUUUUGAUCAUUAAUGUUAUAUUUACGCAAUUGUUAUUAUUAUUUUUCCACACAAAUUGCAUGGUUAUUAUCAUAUGUGUUGAUUGUGAUUUGGGGACGAGGCUUUAGUAGAACAUGCCAUCUGAUGGGUUACAUUGGGACCGUGUGCGCACCGGUAAUGAUCAAAGACAGGUAAUAAGGUUAUUAUGGUUUUGUUUGCCCUGAUCGAGCAUUGCUCUCUCGGCUGAGUUCAGUUGAUUGCCGGAGUUAAGGUCCCUGAUCGAGCUUGCUCUCUGGGCGCCGGCUUAGUUGAGAUAUAAGUGACCAGACUGGAGGUAAGGUCCCCGAUCGAGCUUUGCUCUCUGAGCGCCAGUCUUGUUGGAAUGAGAGAGUUGAGAUAUAAGUGGCCAGACUGGAGGUAAGGUCCCUGAUCGAGCUUUGCUUUCUGGGCGCCAGUCCUGUUGGAAUGAGAGAGUUGAGAUAUUAGAGUUGAGCUUAGUCGAGACGUAAGUUUUGAAAUUGAUCGAGAUGUUGAGUUGGGAUUAGGGUUCUACUGAAGUACUCCGUCCCGUUGCGUGUGGAAUAAUUUUUAUUUAAGCAUGGCAUGACACGUAUGGUUUGCAUGAUUUAUUAAUUAUUUUAAAAUUAAAUGAAUGUGAUAUUGAGAUGUUUGAAACUGUUUUAGAUAUAUGAUUUUAGCUCACUCUAAAGACUGACAGUUUCCAUUUACUGUUUUUCAGAUUCGUGACUGUUAGUCUUCCCGCGACUCUUACUCAGUAACCCGACUUCUUCAUCAUCGGGUGGUGUUUGGGUUGGUAUGUCAAAUUGUAAAAAUCUUAGAUUCUCCGCAGUAGUAAUAGUAGAGGUAUCAGUGGUAAUUUUCUGUAGUUUCGGGUCUCGCCUAAUUUUUUUGGCAGACCGAAUUAAUUAUGUAAAAUGUAGCUAUUAAGAUAUUUUGUGGCUUUAAUAAUAUUAAUUUGAGAUGAGAUUUGUUUGAGUUGUGAGUGUCAGGCUUACUACGGGAUUCGGUGACCUUACGCCUACCCAUUCCCUAGUGCCGGUCACGGGCCUACAGAUGGGGUAGUGACAAAAAUCUCUCUUUAUUAAAAUAAACUUUGACUAUCUUGUUGUAACUUGCAUUAUUGAAUUAAUUUUUUUUAGAUUAUUGAGUUGAACAAUCUUAAUAAAUAUUUUAAAAAUAUGAGAGAGAACAACUUUGAUAUAUUAAUUCUUUAUUAAAAA